rnacentral:rRNA from 1 species
UACGUAGGGGGCAAGCGUUGUUCGGAAUUACUGGGCGUAAAGGGCGCGUAGGCGGCAUGGCAAGUCGGGAGUGAAAGCCCGGGGCUCAACCCCGGAACGGCUUUCGAAACUGCCAAGCUAGAGUACGGAAGGGGCAACUGGAAUUCCCAGUGUAGCGGUGAAAUGCGUAGAUAUUGGGAAGAACACCGGAGGCGAAGGCGGGUUGCUGGGCCGAUACUGACGCUGAGGCGCGAAAGCCAGGGGAGCAAACAGG